CCCUGGGAAUGGGUGACCCUGGCAAGCUUGCUGGACGAUACCUGUGUCAUAAGUGUAUUUCCUAUGGCAGGUCGCAGAUGAAAAUUGUUCAGGAGAGCCAGCGCCAUUCCGGAUCUGAAAAUGCUCUGCAUGUCAGCAUUGUCUGGAGAUUGCAAUAUCCUAAUCAAUCACUACCCUCUAAUGACCAACGGGUAUAUGCUCAGCACAUCAUCAUAUCACCGUUCCACACACCAUCACAUUACAAACAUCAUCACGCACCAAUUAGUAUGCGUUUCUGCUCUGAAAUGGGUACAUUUCAAUGCUGUUCACAACCAUUAAAUCACAUGUUCAAUCCACUCCUGUUCGUCUCCUCAGUCACCCGGAGACCUUGACCUACUCCUGGUCCUCUACGCCCGCCAGCGCCGCUUCGUCUGCGGCCAC